rnacentral:rRNA from 1 species
GACGAACGCUGGCGGCGUGCCUAAUACAUGCAAGUAGAACGCUGAAGGAGGAGCUUGCUUCUCUGGAUGAGUUGCGAACGGGUGAGUAACGCGUAGGUAACCUGCCUGGUAGCGGGGGAUAACUAUUGGAAACGAUAGCUAAUACCGCAUAAGAGUAGAUGUUGCAUGACAUUUGCUUAAAAGGUGCAAUUGCAUCACUACCAGACGGACCUGCGUUGUAUUAGCUAGUUGGUGGGGUAACGGCUCACCAAGGCGACGAUACAUAGCCGACCUGAGAGGGUGAUCGGCCACACUGGGACUGAGACACGGCCCAGACUCCUACGGGAGGCAGCAGUAGGGAAUCUUCGGCAAUGGACGGAAGUCUGACCGAGCAACGCCGCGUGAGUGAAGAAGGUUUUCGGAUCGUAAAGCUCUGUUGUAAGAGAAGAACGAGUGUGAGAGUGGAAAGUUCACACUGUGACGGUAUCUUACCAGAAAGGGACGGCUAACUACGUGCCAGCAGCCGCGGUAAUACGUAGGUCCCGAGCGUUGUCCGGAUUUAUUGGGCGUAAAGCGAGCGCAGGCGGUUAGAUAAGUCUGAAGUUAAAGGCUGUGGCUUAACCAUAGUACGCUUUGGAAACUGUUUAACUUGAGUGCAAGAGGGGAGAGUGGAAUUCCAUGUGUAGCGGUGAAAUGCGUAGAUAUAUGGAGGAACACCGGUGGCGAAAGCGGCUCUCUGGCUUGUAACUGACGCUGAGGCUCGAAAGCGUGGGGAGCAAACAGGGUUAGAUACCCUGGUAGUCCACGCCGUAAACGAUGAGUGCUAGGUGUUAGACCCUUUCCGGGGUUUAGUGCCGCAGCUAACGCAUUAAGCACUCCGCCUGGGGAGUACGACCGCAAGGUUGAAACUCAAAGGAAUUGACGGGGGCCCGCACAAGCGGUGGAGCAUGUGGUUUAAUUCGAAGCGACGCGAAGAACCUUACCAGGUCUUGACAUCCCUCUGACCGCUCUAGAGAUAGAGUUUUCCUUCGGGACAGAGGUGACAGGUGGUGCAUGGUUGUCGUCAGCUCGUGUCGUGAGAUGUUGGGUUAAGUCCCGCAACGAGCGCAACCCCUAUUGUUAGUUGCCAUCAUUCAGUUGGGCACUCUAGCGAGACUGCCGGUAAUAAACCGGAGGAAGGUGGGGAUGACGUCAAAUCAUCAUGCCCCUUAUGACCUGGGCUACACACGUGCUACAAUGGCUGGUACAACGAGUCGCAAGCCGGUGACGGCAAGCUAAUCUCUUAAAGCCAGUCUCAGUUCGGAUUGUAGGCUGCAACUCGCCUACAUGAAGUCGGAAUCGCUAGUAAUCGCGGAUCAGCACGCCGCGGUGAAUACGUUCCCGGGCCU